rnacentral:rRNA from 1 species
GACGAACGCUGGCGGCGUGCCUAAUACAUGCAAGUCGAGCGGAACUGGGGGAGCUUGCUCCUUCCAGUUUAGCGGCGGACGGGUGAGUAACACGUGGGCAACCUGCCCUGCAGAUCGGGAUAACUCCGGGAAGCCGGUGCUAAUACCGAAUAGUUUGGCGCCUCUCCUGAGGCGCUACGGAAAGACGGUUUCGGCUGUCACUGCAGGAUGGGCCCGCGGCGCAUUAGCUAGUUGGUGGGGUAACGGCCCACCAAGGCGACGAUGCGUAGCCGACCUGCGAGGGUGACCGGCCACACUGGGACUGAGACACGGCCCAGACUCCUACGGGAGGCAGCAGUAGGGAAUCUUCCGCAAUGGACGCAAGUCUGACGGAGCAACGCCGCGUGAGUGACGAAGGUUUUCGGAUCGUAAAACUCUGUUGUGAGGGAAGAACACGUACCAACUAACUAUUGGUACCUUGACGGUACCUCACCAGAAAGCCACGGCUAACUACGUGCCAGCCGCCGCCGUAA